CUUAUUACAUGGAAUUGAGUUCUCAAGUUCUUCAUGACGUCCUGGACAUUACUUGGCCGGUUACCUUCAUGUUACGCACUUGGACACGAAGCAUAUUUCACCUUGGCUGUAAGCAGUGAUGUGACUGGUGUGUUAUUGCACAACUCAGUCUCCUGUGUCAAGUCCUUUUCAUUGCUUCAGUUCUGUAAAUUCUCCUCCUGGCUGUCAGAACCCACGACUUCUUACUGUUAUCUUCAAAGGAUUUUAAGGUAGUUUCAGUUUUAAUUGUGUAUUCAUUUUUGUUUUUGUCGUUUUCUU
rnacentral:lncRNA from 1 species